rnacentral:rRNA from 1 species
UACGAGGGGGGCAAGCGUUGUUCGGAAUUAUUGGGCGUAAAGGGUGCGUAGGCGGUUUGGUAAGUCUUAUGUGAAAUCUACAGGCUCAACUUGUAGUCUGCAUGAGAAACUGCCGGGCUUGAGUAUGGGAGAGGUGAGUGGAAUUCCUGGUGUAGCGGUGAAAUGCGUAGAUAUCAGGAGGAACACCUGUGGCGAAAGCGGCUCACUGGACCAUAACUGACGCUGAUGCACGAGAGCUAGGGGAGCAAACAGG